rnacentral:rRNA from 1 species
GGCGAACGCUGGCGGCAGGCUUAACACAUGCAAGUCGAGCGGGCACUUCAGGGUCAUCGUCCGACGAGUUUGUAACACGUCGGAACGUACCCUUUUGUUCGACCUAACUCUAAGACUCUAGCGCUAAUACCGGAUACGCCCUUUUAGCGGAAGGCUUGCUGCCCAAGGUUGGGCCCUCGUCUGAUUAGAUUGUUGUUUCGGUAAUGGCAUACCAAGGCGACGAUCAGUAGCUGGUAUGAGAGGAUGAUCAGCCACACUGGGACGGAGACACGGCCGAGAAUCCUACGGGAGGCAGCAGUGGGGAAUAUUGGACAAUGGGCGGAAGCAUGAUGCAGUCAUGAUGGGUGAGUGAUGAAGGCAGGAGGGUAGUAAAGCUCUAUUGUCCGGGAAGAUAAUGACGGUACCGGAAGAAUAAGCCCCGGCUAACUACGUG